ACUGAUCGCGUUUGCUGACUUCAUAAAUAUUUGAAUAGCCGCAAGCGAUAAAUUAGGAACAUCAACAUGUAAGAUCUCAGAGUGUUCAGCCCACACAUUAAGAAAACCAGAAUAGUAAUCUUGAAUGGACAUAGGGCCUUGUCGAUAAUGUGCAACAUCGAGUUCAAGCUGAAAGCGUUUAGCAUCAUUAUUCAGAUUGUAAAUAGUCUUCAGGUGAUCCCACAUCUCUUUGGCUGUUGAGAAGGAGCGCAAGUUAUUAAUGAUUUGAGGCUCAACAGAAGCAAGGAUCCAAGUAAUAACUUGUGUGUCCUGUUUUCUCAUUUAUCCAACGCAGUAGCGUCGGUUGGAGCUGUCGAAGUCCCGUUGAGAUGACCAGACAAUGAUUUCCCUUUCACAAACAUUUCAAACUGAA
rnacentral:lncRNA from 1 species